AACUGAUACUACCUGCGGGAACCUGCGGAGGGAUCAUUACCGAGUACCGGGUCUUCCAGGCCCUUACUCCCACCCUUUGUGUACCUAAACCUUUUUUUCGUUGCCUCGGCGGGGCAGAUCCCGGCGCAAGCUGGGGGACCCGCCGGGGGGACACCACCAAAACUCUUGUUAACUGUGUCGUCUGAGAAACAUUUAAUAAGUCAAAACUUUCAACAAUGGAUCUCUAGAUCGGAAGAGCAC
rnacentral:misc_RNA from 1 species